GACGAAGGAUGCAAGCGUUAUCCGGAUUCAUUGGGUUUAAAGGGAGCGUAGGUGGUCUUAUAAGUCAGUGGUGAAAUCUCUGGGCUUAACCCAGAAAUUGCCAUUGAUACUGUAGGACUUGAGUAUAGUUGCCGUUGGCGGAAUAUGACAUGUAGUGGUGAAAUACAUAGAGAUAUCAUAGAACACCGAUUGCGAAGGCAGCUAACGAAACUAUAACUGACACUGAGGCUCGAAAGUGUGGGGAUCAAACAGG
rnacentral:rRNA from 1 species